rfam:Danio rerio chromosome 25, GRCz11 reference primary assembly.
CUGUGACCUGUGGGUUUCCCUUUGUCAUCCUAUGCCUAGAGUUUGUGAUAAGGCAGGGACAGCAAAGGGAGGCUCAGCCGUCACCACU